rnacentral:lncRNA from 1 species
CACUGAGGCAAACAAACACAACUUUGGUACAAUUUCCAAUUGGCCUGGGGAUGGUACCAUCCUCCUAUGAAAAUUACUAAACCAUGGAUGUCUUAUGGGAAAAUCCAGAAAAGUCUGCUGAUCUGUGGAGUUUAUGUCUAAGUAGGAUCCAGUGGGAAGCUACUGAAAGUCUUUGAGCAUGGAUGAUGGACUCUAAGAUACUCCUUGGAAAGAGUUAGAAUAUUGCUCUGACAGUGAAGUAGAAGAUACCAACCAGGAGAGUAUGGAUUGGAGGGGAGAAGGAGGGGAGAGUUAGGAGGCUGUUGAAUAAUCAAAAUAAGGGAUUAUAACAAAGUAUCCUGGCUAUAUAAAGAUCUCCUUCAUUGGGUAAGGCAACCAGUAGGAUGUUGGGAUCAGUGAUCCCCAGCUUUUGAACCUGAUGGCUAAGAUCAAAGAGGAGCCAUAUACAGAAAUAGGGAGGUCAGAAAGAGGACUUGGUAUGAGUAAGAUGAUGAGUUCAAUUUGGAACCUAUUGUUUUUGUGCAGCCCAGCAGGACAUUGAGUGACUGGAGUGCUGCCACCAAAGACCAGCAGCUACUUAAUAAAUACAAAUGAUGCUACUUGAAAGGCUAUUUUUUUAAGGUCUUUAAAACAAAUUGUUUCUUAAAUAAGCUCAUCACACAUAGCCAACCCCCUAGUCACUUUAACUCAGCCACCCUCAUCUCCUUCCUUCCUUCUUUCCUCUCUUUCUUUCUUUCUUUCCUCUCUUUCUUUCUUUCUUUCUUUCUUUCUUUCUUUCUUUCUCUUUCUCUUCUUUCUCUUCUUCCCCUCCCUUCCUUCCUUUCUUCCUUCCUUCUCAUACUUUCUUAUUUUUCUUACUUUCUUAAUAUUGAAUAUAAGUAGAUUUCAUCCCAGUUCAGGUCAGAAUGCUCCCCAAAUCAAAAUUAGCAUUUUGAAUUAGUGAAAAACUGAGUUUUAAAAUAAAAUAUUAGCUAAUGGAUGUAACCAGGAAUGAACUGAAAAGGAUGGAAGCUUUUCUUACUGAUUUCAGCUUUAUUCCCUGGUGUCUCUCACUGAAGGAAGGUCAUGAGCAACAAGGCACCAGCACAUUGGAUCCAGAAUUGCUAAAGAAUGCAAACUUGACCUUGACUUUAAGGUCAAAGCAUUUUCAGACUGUGCGGUCAGCAGAGGAUAGAAAAAAAAAAAAUCAAUGUGAAGCAUAUUAG